rnacentral:rRNA from 1 species
UGAUGCGAUCAUACCAGCACUAAAGCACCGGAUCCCAUCAGAACUUCGAAGUUAAGCGUGCUUGAGCGAGAGUAGUACUAGGAUGGGUGACCUCCUGGGAAGUCCCCUCGUUUUGCAUUCC